rnacentral:snRNA from 1 species
GGGUGUGAGGAUGGUCCUGCUGGGGACACCAGGCGCCUGUCAAUUGCCUGGGUUGAUUUUGCUGAUCUAACCAGCAGGCUAGGUGGCUGGCCUCCCUCCUCCCAUUCCACACAUGUUCUUCCUGGUGCUGUACACCAAGUCAGAGAGAAGGGGAGCCUUCCCGGGUAGAGCAUCAUUCUUUAGCCAAGGGUGUGUGACGACUUUGUCUGUUAUCUGGCAUUCUAAGGGAGUAUAGUGCUCUGGUUA